rnacentral:rRNA from 1 species
ANGCGCGGUCUAGGCAUGCAAGUCGAACGAACCUACUAAGCUUGCUUAACUAGGUUAGUGGCAAACGGGUGCGUAACACAUUGGUAACCUACCUCAAAGACGGGAACAACUCGGGGAAACUCGAGCUAAUACCCGAUGUGCUUGCUCUAUUGAUUAGAGUAAGUAAAGCUCCGGCGCUUUGAGAGGGGCCUAUGUCCUAUCAGCUUGUUGGUAAGGUAAAAGCUUACCAAGGCUACGACGGGUAGCGGGUGUGAGAGCACGAUCCGCCUCACUGGGACUGAGACACUGCCCAGACUCCUACGGGAGGCUGCAGUCAAGAAUCUUCCCCAAUGCACGAAAGUGUGAGGGAGCGACGCCGCGUGAUUGAAGAAGCCCUUCGGGGUGUAAAAGUCUUUUCUCUAGGACGAACUAAUGACGGUACUAGAGGAAUAAGGGGCUGCUAAACUCGUGCCAGCAGCAGCGGUAAUACGAGUGCCCCAAGCGUUAUCCGGAUUUAUUGGGCGUAAAGGGUACGUAGGCGGUCUAUUAAGUCAGUGGUAAAAUCCCGGGGCUCAACCCCGGACCUGCCUCUGAUACUGAUAGACUAGAGGCUGGAAGAGGCAAGUGGAAUUGCUGGUGUAGGGGUAAAAUCCGUUAAUAUCAGCAGGAACACCAAAUGCGAAGGCAACUUGCUAGGACAGUCCUGACGCUAAUGUACGAAAGCGUGGGUAGCGAAUGGGAUUAGAUACCCCANUANUCCACGCCGUAAACGAUGGAUACUANAUGUUGGACAGAUCNACCUGUGCANUAUUAAAGCUAACNCGUUAANUAUCCCGCCUGGGAAGUAUGCUCNCNANANUGAAACUCNNA